rnacentral:lncRNA from 1 species
GUCCUUCCCCAGUCUCUGCCCCACCUGCCUUCUCGGCAGGGCUGUCUGCACGGCUCUGCCCGGGCUUCAGGCUCCAGGCUUCUGUCAAGGGGGUGGAGGACUCCUGACUGCAGGAUAGACACAGGCAGCUAUGGGCAGCUCACUGGAGUUAGGUGGUGUGUGCCAUUCCCCCUGCCAGGAGCUCACCGGCCUCACCCAAGCUCGCAGCAUUGUGCCGGGAAAGGAUGUUCUCGGCUCCGGCCUUUUUCCUCCUCUCCUGGGGACAGAACAUGGAUCCUGGAAGGCAUUGAGGACCCUGUGCUCAGCCCCUGCCCAUCCCUUCCACCACUUAUCUGUCCUGUAGGCACACUGACGCGGCUUUCACAAAAUGGGAGGCUCUGAGAGGGAACAUCUCCCUGGAUCCCCUCUCUUCCAAUGGACCUGUGCUAUGGUCUGAAAGUUUGUGUCUCCUGGAAAUUCAUAUGUUGAGAACUAACCCCAAGGCAAUGAGGCCCCAGAGGCUGCCUUGUCCUUUCCACCUCAUGGGACACAGCAAGAAGGAGCCGUCUGUGAACCAGGAAGCAGGCCCUCACCAAACCUGCUGCCAUCUUGAUUUUGGACUUCCAGCUUCCAGAGCUGUAAUAAAGAAACUUCUGUUGUUUAUAA